rnacentral:rRNA from 1 species
UGGGGAAUUUUGGACAAUGGGGGCAACCCUGAUCCAGCCAUGCCGCGUGAAGGAUGAAGUAUUUCGGUAUGUAAACUUCGAAAGAAUAGGAAGAAUAAAUGACGGUACUAUUUAUAAGGUCCGGCUAACUACGUGCCAGCAGCCGCGGUAAUACGUAGGGACCAAGCGUUGUUCGGAUUUACUGGGCGUAAAGGGCACGUAGGCGGGCUAUUAAGUCAGGGGUGAAAUCCCGAGGCUCAACCUCGGAACUGCCUUUGAUACUGAUAGUCUUGAGAUCGGGAGAGGUGAGUGGAAUUCCUAGUGUAGAGGUGAAAUUCGUAGAUAUUAGGAAGAACACCAGUGGCGAAGGCGGCUCACUGGCCCGAUACUGACGCUGAGGUGCGAAAGCGUGGGGAGCAAACAGGAUUAGAUACCCAUGUAGUCCCUGAGCGGGCUGGCAAGGCGCAU